rnacentral:rRNA from 1 species
GUAGUUAGCCGGUGCUUUUUCUGCAGGUACCGUCACUUUCGCUUCUUCCCUACUAAAAGAGGUUUACAACCCGAAGGCCUUCUUCCUUCACGCGGCAUUGCUGGGUCAGGGUUUCCCCCAUUGCCCAAUAUUCCCCCCUGCUGCCUCCCGUAGGAGUCUGGACCGUUUCUCAGUUCCAGUGUGGCCGUUCAGCCUCUCAGCUCGGCUACCCAUCGUCGACUUGGUGGGCCGUUACCCCGCCAACUAUCUAAUGGGACGCGAACCCGUCUUACACCGGAUCUCUCCUUUGACCCCCAAGCCAUGUGGCCCUGUGGUCUUAUGCGGUAUUAGCAGCCGUUUCCAGCUGUUGUCCCCCUGUGUAAGGUUGGUUGUUCACGCGUUACUCACCCGUCCGCCGCUAAGUUCCCCCCGAAGGGUUCCCUCCGCUCGACUUGCAUGGGUUAGGCAUGCCGCCAGCGUUCGUCC